CUCUAGUCCUCCCAAUUUAGCCGAGUAUGUUGUUCCGAUUGGCUUCUCUCCUCUUCGGUCUGGAUUUGGGUGUCCUUCCCAUACUGGGUUUGGUUUGUUAAUAGUUAUGUUUUGGGUUUUGAGAAGCUCAUCUUGGAGUGUAAUUAUCGAGGGAGACACACAAAUGAUCGAGAUUGAAGAACAGUUCGGUUGUUGCAGCUAUGCAUAGGUUAAUGGUGUUAUGGGUCUAGAAGCUAAUACUUCUCGAUGGGAAGGAGUUAAGCUUGGUGUAGACGUCAGUUUCUCCAGGAUUUUUGCACCUUUUCCUCUUUGCUUGAAGGCUAACCCCAUGGCCAAAAGAAAUUGAGAGGCCAGUAAGUUAAACCACGUCACUCGCCUAGCCUUGUUUGCAAUGGUGAUAGAAAGUCAAUAGCCAUUUUUGGUGUGAGCUCUAAAGGUCCUUGAGUGGUUCACAUAUUCUCUUUGAGUAUUUAAUCGACAGAGUAUCUUCCUUCUCAAUCAGCAUUCCUGCUUGGUGCAGAGAGACGAGUGGUAGACUUGGUUCUCCUUCACCCUAAGGUUUCUAUUUAGAUUUGGGCUACGUCUAUUGUUGUGUUGAGUUGUUGUUGUGUUGAGUUAGUUGUUCUUAACUAGUUUUCGGCCUCCAGUGUUUUUAUGUUUCUAGGCCCAAUCUUGUAAUCUUAUCCUCUGAGCUUUGAUGAUGCAGAAGCAUUUGCAUAAAAAAGAAAAUGAUUUGCAAUGAUGAAUUGAUAGUUGGGCAUAUGGAAAACCAACCAAAAGAAAGGAAGUGCUAAUCAAGAACAAUGAAGCAAGCACUUUGUAAGAAGG
rnacentral:misc_RNA from 1 species